rnacentral:rRNA from 1 species
CAGUCGCCACGGGAAUACGUAGGGUGCGAGCGUUAAUCGGAAUUACUGGGCGUAAAGCGUGCGCAGGCGGUUUUGUAAGACAGGCGUGAAAUCCCCGGGCUCAACCUGGGAAUGGCGCUUGUGACUGCAAAGCUAGAGUGCGGCAGAGGGGGAUGGAAUUCCGCGUGUAGCAGUGAAAUGCGUAGAUAUGCGGAGGAACACCGAUGGCGAAGGCAAUCCCCUGGGCCUGCACUGACGCUCAUGCACGAAAGCGUGGGGAGCAAACAGGAUUAGAGACCCGCGUAGUCCCUGUCUCUUAUAC